UACGUAGGGUCCGAGCGUUGUCCGGAAUUACUGGGCGUAAAGAGCUCGUAGGUGGUUUGUCGCGUUGUUCGUGAAAACUCACAGCUUAACUGUGGGCGUGCGGGCGAUACGGGCAGACUUGAGUACUGCAGGGGAGACUGGAAUUCCUGGUGUAGCGGUGGAAUGCGCAGAUAUCGGGAGGAACACCGGUGGCGAAGGCGGGUCUCUGGGCCGAUACUGACGCUGAGGAGCGAAAGCGUGGGGAGGCGAACAGG
rnacentral:rRNA from 1 species